UUACACAGUUACUAAGUGGUAGAGACAGUAUGCAAAAUUAGAAGAACUACUGUUUGAAUUCAUGAUUUCUUUAUUACAAUUAUCUACUGCUGCGUAAUAAAUCAUCCCAAAAUACAACGGCUUAAACUAACAACAAUCAUUUUAUUAUCUUUCACAAUUUCUGUGAGUCAAGAAUUUAUACAAAGCACAGCUGAAAUGCUUGUCUCUGCUUCCUGAUGUCUGAAUCUUACACUGGGAAGACUGCAGGCAACUCAAUGGCCCAGGGCUAGAAUCAUUUGAAACCCCAGGUUUAGCUUCAUGAUCAAAAUCACCUCAGGGCAUACUAUAAUCAACCAAACAUCAGCUUUCAAGAGAUGCACCAUAUGACUACAUCCGCAGAGCAUCUUGAUGAAUUUGUCCAUAAAAACCCUCUGAGAGAAGUCAUGAAAACAAAUAAGUCUGUUGAGCUUUACAUAUGCCAAAUAUGUCUGACCACAAGAUCCUUUGACCUCCCCAUAAAACAUUUUCUAUCACUGGGGGAGCUCAAGUCCUGUAGAGCUCACCAUGGGAUACACUGCUCCCUGACUGUGUCUCUGCCUCGUCUACUUCCAUUGCUCAUCCAGGAAUUGAGAAGACUUUAUCAUUUAAGCCAUGAGAUGGCAGAGGAAGAAAAAACCAGAAGCCUGUUUAAGUCACCUUUAGAUUUCCACUUCUUCUUCCACUGAAUUGUCCUUGAUAUUUCCUUUGGAAAUAAAUUCCAAGGUAAUAAAAGGCCUCAGUGCA